rnacentral:rRNA from 1 species
UAAGGAAUAUUGCGCAAUGGGCGAAAGCCUGACGCAGCGACGCCGCGUGGGGGAUGAAGGUCUUCGGAUUGUAAACCCCUUUUGGGAGGGAAGAUGGGACGAGCAAUCGUCCGGACGGUACCUCCAGAAAAAGCCACGGCUAACUUCGUGCCAGCAGCCGCGGUAAUACGAAGGUGGCAAGCGUUGUUCGGAUUUACUGGGCGUAAAGGGAGCGUAGGCGGUUUGGUAAGCCCUCCGGGAAAUCUUCGGGCUCAACCCGGAAAGUUCAGAGGGGACUGCCAGGCUAGAGGACGGGAGAGGAGCGCGGAAUUCCCGGUGUAGCGGUGAAAUGCGUAGAGAUCGGGAGGAAGGCCGGUGGCGAAGGCGGCGCUCUGGAACGUUUCUGACGCUGAGGCUCGAAAGCGUGGGGAGCAAACAGGAUUAGAUACCCGCGUAGUCC